UACGGGGGAGCAAGCGUUGUUCGGAUUUACUGGGUGUAAAGGGCGCGUAGGCGGCCAGCACAAGUCAGUUGUGAAAUCUCCGAGCUUAACUCGGAAAGGUCAACUGAUACUGUGCGGCUAGAGUGCGGAAGGGGCAACUGGAAUUCUUGGUGUAGCGGUGAAAUGCAUAGAUAUCAAGAGGAACACCUGCGGCGAAGGCGGGUUGCUGGGCCGACACUGACGCUGAGGCGCGAAAGCCAGGGGAGCGAACGGG
rnacentral:rRNA from 1 species